GUGGAGGGGCAGUGCUGAGUCACGGCCCUGCCAUCUUUCUGUGAGGGGGAUGGCCUCGUGACAGCCACUGUGUGCUUCAUUCCCCCAACACAAGCUCGGUGUUUCAGAGGCUUGAUCUUCCCUGGUGGUUAAUUUUCCUUUACAGCACGGUUCAUCUAUUCCGUCCCACGUAACAGUAAUCUGUAUCUCUACUGCCUGUACCGUUGGCCUCGGCUCACACGGCUGUCGGUCAAUCUCUUACUUUCCACUCCAGUGGUUUUAUGAACGACAGAAGUCUAGUGAGAAUGCAAUGUACAACGAUGCGCAGCUAAAUGGUUGGUUGUAAAUACCCACGAAGGCGGGCAAGAUAAGUGAGCGACCCUUACUCCUCUUUAGGGGCAAAGGAAGCAAAAAUUGUUUUCUGUUGGUAUGACUUCAGAGUAAUACAAAAGCUGCUUCUCUUCUAGUUUGUGGCUAGCCUAGAAUUAUCCCGUCUGAGACUUGGACUAUCCCAUCAACAGAGGACUCAGUCAGAACCUAAUGCCGGCAGCCUCCUACCCACACUUGGGGUUUUUAUGAAAUGAGAGGGGCCAGUAAGGGAAGUGCCUGGAUCAAGAGGAGACAGAGCUGUCUGGGUGACUGCAGACACCCUGACUCUAGAGUGCUGUGGAAGGCGAGCCUAUGGCUCUGGAGAAGCACAAAGCCUCAGACAGCAAGAAGCAUGAAGAAACAGAAGGCUGCCGUGCACCUUAGUCCUGUGUGUCAUAGUCUGUCAGCCACGGGCUGCAAAGCUAUAGGUCGCAAUUAGUACAAACAUACGUUGUUGGGAUUAUCAACGUCUAGAACUUUCUCUUGAGAUGUGGGCGGAGGAUGGGCUCUAGUCAUCUGUGCCUGUGCUGCUUGCACAACCCUCCCCGCCCAGUGGGCAUUCUCCCUGCUGACCCAGACCAAGUCCACGGCCAACUUGACUGAAAGAGCAGUCUGCCCAGGGAAGCUUCUGGCAGCUGCUACCCGAACCCCUUCCCUUCUUGGUCCUGACACCUAGUAAACCGGUGAGCCUAGACAAUCCUAUUUGUUUCGGGUGAACAGGCUUUCCCUCACUCCCUCCGUGGGACACUGCUUUCUGUGAGGGUCAUUUUGGCAAAGCAGUAUCAAGGUGACACCGCAGUAGGUGGGCCCGAAGCUGCUCUUCACAGGGGCACCACCCGGAGCUUCAGUGCCUUUCUGUACAGAGUGGGAGGAGCCUCGGAGGAGCCUCGUCUGUGGCGAGGGCAGUGCGCUUAUGUGCACAUUUGCAUCGGGAGGGAACGUUUACAGAAAUGGUUCCUUGUACCUGCAUGCAUCCCAUUUACCGUUUACGUUUAAAUCACACGGGGCUGCUGGGUUUCUAGCUUAGGUGGAGCACACAUAAGGAUCUGUAGUCCCUAAUUCUACCAGUUAUAAAUUUGCUGAGUAAUAAUACAGGUGAGAAAUUGCACUGGAUUUACAAGUCAUGAAGCCCAGCAGGUGAUGACAAGCCUCCCCCACACACCCCUCCCCACAUUCCCUACCACUGCCGCCUUUGUUUUGUUUGUUUUGUUUUGUUUUGUUUUUGUAGUGCUGACUUGUCUACUGUUAUACAAAUUACUGUUCUCCCCUACCUUUCUUUCCUAAAUAAAUAAACAAUAAUUUC
rnacentral:lncRNA from 1 species